rfam:TPA: Bos taurus chromosome 11, whole genome shotgun sequence.
UCCCUGGUGGUUCAGUGGUUAAGACUCAGUGCUUCCAAAGCAGAGGGCCUGGGUUCAAUCCCUGGUCAGGGAA